rnacentral:rRNA from 1 species
AGGACGAACGCUGGCGGCGUGCCUAACACAUGCAAGUGGAGCGACGAACCGGGCUUCGGCCCGGGGCAAAGCCGCGAACGGGUGAGUAACACGUGGGUAACCUGCCCUGAUGAUUGGGACAACCCGAGGAAACUCGGGCUAAUACCGAAUGUGCCCUCUGGCCUCAAGGCCGCUGGGGAAAGGAAGCUUCGGCCUCCGCAUCGGGAUGGGCCCGCGGCCCAUUAGCUUGUUGGUGGGGUAAUGGCCCACCAAGGCGACGAUGGGUAGCUGGUCUGAGAGGACGAUCAGCCACACUGGGACUGAGACACGGCCCAGACUCCUACGGGAGGCAGCAGUGGGGAAUAUUGCGCAAUGGGCGAAAGCCUGACGCAGCGACGCCGCGUGGGGGAUGGAAGGCCUUCGGAUUCGUAAACCCCUUCCAGCAGGGACGAAGCGAAAGUGACGGUACCUGCAGAAGAAGUGCCGGCUAACUACGUGCCAGCAGCCGC